rnacentral:rRNA from 1 species
CGUACUUGUACUGAUUGAGAUUUUAACACGAAGUGAGUGGCGAACGGGUGAGUAACACGUGGGUAACCUGCCCAGAAGUAGGGGAUAACACCUGGAAACAGAUGCUAAUACCGUAUAACAGAGAAAACCGCAUGGUUUUCUUUUGAAAGAUGGCUCUGCUAUCACUUCUGGAUGGACCCGCGGCGUAUUAGCUAGUUGGUGAGGUAAAGGCUCACCAAGGCAGUGAUACGUAGCCGACCUGAGAGGGUAAUCGGCCACAUUGGGACUGAGACACGGCCCAGACUCCUACGGGAGGCAGCAGUAGGGAAUCUUCCACAAUGGACGCAAGUCUGAUGGAGCAACGCCGCGUGAGUGAAGAAGGGUUUCGGCUCGUAAAGCUCUGUUGUUAAAGAAGAACGUGGGUAAGAGUAACUGUUUACCCAGUGACGGUAUUUAACCAGAAAGCCACGGCUAACUACGUGCCAGCAGCCGCGGUAAUACGUAGGUGGCAAGCGUUAUCCGGAUUUAUUGGGCGUAAAGCGAGCGCAGGCGGUCUUUUAAGUCUAAUGUGAAAGCCUUCGGCUCAACCGAAGAAGUGCAUUGGAAACUGGGAGACUUGAGUGCAGAAGAGGACAGUGGAACUCCAUGUGUAGCGGUGAAAUGCGUAGAUUUAUGGAAGAACACCAGUGGCGAAGGCGGCUGUCUGGUCUGCAACUGACGCUGAGGCUCGAAAGCAUGGGUAGCGAACAGGAUUAGAUACCCUGGUAGUCCAUGCCGUAAACGAUGAUUACUAAGUGUUUGGAAGGGUUUCCGCCCCUUCAGUGCUGCAGCUAACGCAUUAAGUAAUCCGCCUGGGGGAGUACGACCGCAAGGUUGAAACUCAAAAGAAUUGACGGGGGCCCGCACAAGCGGUGGAGCAUGUGGUUUAAUUCGAAGCUACGCGAAGAACCUUACCAGGUCUUGACAUCUUCUGACAGUCUAAAAAAUUAAAGGUUCCCUUCGGGGACAAAAUGACAGGUGGGGGCACGGGUUGUCCUCACCUCCUGUCCUGAAAAAUUUGGGUUAAUUCCCUCACCAAACGCAACCCUUUUUACUAAUUUGCCACCCUUAAUUUGGGCACCCUAUUGAAAAUGCCGGUGAAAACCCCAAAAAAGGGGGGGGGCGACCCCAAAUAUAAAGGCCCCUUUUAACCGGGGGUUCCCCCUCCUCCCUU